GUAAGGAAUAUUGGACAAUGGCCGCAAGGCUGAUCCAGCCAUGCCGCGUGCAGGAUGAAGGUGCUCUGCAUUGUAAACUGCUUUUGUUUGGGAAUAAACCCCUCUACGUGUAGAGGGCUGAAUGUACCAAAAGAAUAAGGGACGGCUAACUUCGUGCCAGCAGCCGCGGUAAUACGAAGGUCCCAAGCGUUAUCCGGAUUUAUUGGGUUUAAAGGGUGCGUAGGCGGGUUAUUAAGUCAGUGGUGAAAGCCUUCAGCUUAACUGAAGAAUUGCCAUUGAUACUGAUGAUCUUGAGUAUGAUUGAGGUGGGCGGAAUGUGUCAUGUAGCGGUGAAAUGCUUAGAUAUGACACAGAACACCGAUUGCGAAGGCAGCUCACUAAGCCAUAACUGACGCUGAUGCACGAAAGCGUGGGGAGCAAACAGGAUUAGAUACCCCGGUAGUCC
rnacentral:rRNA from 1 species